GCCCGAAUGAUGGAAUAUGGCAUACAUCCCUGUCUCAGACACAGGUUUUUGAGAGUUCGAGUCUCUCUUCGGGUACCA
rnacentral:tRNA from 1 species